rnacentral:misc_RNA from 1 species
GGAAUAUCAACAAUUACAAGAGUAAAAUUUCUUCUUUUCUCUAGAUUAUGACAUUAUUGUUUAUCCAUUGUUGAAAUUGAUGCUUCUGCAACUGCUGUUUUCUGGUGGCAAUGUCUUUGUUGGAUCUCAAAUAUUUCAAUAACUUUGAUAGUGUACAAAACAUGAAACCGCUUAAUCAAAUUGAUAUUCAUUAACUAAAUAUUUCAUUUAAUCAUAAUACAAGUUUUAUUUUUAUAUAUA